rnacentral:rRNA from 1 species
UACGAAGGGUGCAAGCGUUACUCGGAAUUACUGGGCGUAAAGCGUGCGUAGGUGGUGAGUUAAGUCUGAUGUGAAAUCCCCGGGCUCAACCUGGGAAUGGCAUUGGAUACUGGCUCGCUGGAGUGCGGUAGAGGGUGGUGGAAUUCCCGGUGUAGCAGUGAAAUGCGUAGAGAUCGGGAGGAACAUCUGUGGCGAAAGCGGCUCUCUGGACCACAACCGACGCUGAGGCGCGAAAGCUAGGGGAGCAAACAGG